CUAAAACUGGACUUCUUGUUGUUUCAAGUUAUAUAUAUUAAGUAAUACGAUUCUCUCAGACGUUCUUACGUGUUUGGUGUGCGGUGUGCGAGGCACAAACUGCCCAUUGCCUAUUUGCCUUGAAAUAACGCUCCUCAACUAGUACUCUAUCGUUCAGUUUAAACGUGUAACAUUACUGUUAAUACUGUAGCAUGUAGGUCGAGGGUUGGGUAUCUACUUGCGUCCUUAGAGUAUAAUGGUUCGUGAAUUUCUUCGCUGUGCUUCGGCCUUCGGGGGUUUUUACCCGGGCUCCGGUUUUUCUCCCGCAGGGCCUUUUUUAAGGAAUUUCUCGUGGGGG
rnacentral:lncRNA from 1 species